CGAAAGCCCUAGAUAUUUUUGUUUCUCUCCUCUCUCGUCCCUUCCGCCCCCCUCUCUACCUCUUUCCCACUACAAGAUCACCCAGCAAGCAUGUCGACAACGCAUCAGACAUCCAGCGCAAUCGAAGAUUUGAAUUCCAGCUAUGGUUCUGCGACCAUCUCUUGCAACCUCCUCGCUGUCACGAGGCAUGGUGAUGGUGUGAUCGACAUGUGUCCCGCCGAUUUGCUUCCAUGACCAUCUGCUGCGUCGCCUCGCAUGGCUCCACGCGUCGACCACCCGUGCUCCCACAGACCCCCGUCGAUCUCGUGUUGGUUUCGCCUUCCCGAUUUCCUUCCUCCCUAAAGCCCCGAUCCCCCCAAGUUAUCGCAAGCCGCAGUGGCUGGCUUCGGAGUCCACAUCUCUCCACCGGCGGCCGCGCGCCGUGGCCUCAGGCCAUGCUCGUUCCCUAAAAUGGUAUCGGUCACUCACAGGCCGUGCUCAUUCCCCUAGAUAGAUUGAUGCAAGGGGUGGUGACAAACUUGAGGCAGCAACUGCAUAUCUUGCAAGAAAAUUAAAUGGGUGAGCGUAGUGAGAAAUGUGAUUAAUGUUGGACCUUCUUUGUGCGGACGCCACGUAUGCUUAUUUCCAGCUGAUUCUCUAUGGACUGCAGUUCCUUAACGUUCAGCCCUGAUAGAUCUUCUCCCAUCAACUGCCUGUAACAAAUCAGUAUGCAUUACCAUUUUCCAUUGCAUUAUUUCCAUUUACAAGUAGCCAAAAAAUUUCUUCUGUUAUGAUUAGCAUUAGCAUUUUAUUCCGUAAAUGUUUUGAGUUCUACACAGUUCAUUUGAUGAUGCCAUAUCCAUAAAUAUUCAAGUGAAUAAAGCUUAUUGGCAAGGAAGAUUGUUUAACCAAUCAUUACAGAUUUUAGAACUUCUUUAUAACUAAGCGUUUUUUCGUGUGCUGAUAAUGCCAAUUUAGGCAAUAAUAUUAUUUUGAAAUACAACAUAAAAGUGAGAAAACUAAAUAGUCUUGGAACAGAAGUUUGGCUACAUGGCUUCUUUGUAACGUCCAGUUCCUGGGGGACUUAUAUUGGAUACUCAAUCAAAAUUGCAUUUUACUCCCUCCGUUCCAUAAAGAUUGGCACGACUUUGAACUAGCUCUAGUUUAAAUCCGUGCCAAUCUUUAUGGAACAGAGGGAGUAGUUAAUAACAUGAUUUUGAAUUUUGAAACACAUGUCACGGGACAAAACUAGCUAGUUUGAGCCAGCUACAUGUCUUGGAACCAAAGUGCAGCUAUAUACUACCUACGUUCCAUAAUUCUUGUCUCAAAUUUGUCCAAACAUGGAUGUAUCUAUUCUUAAAAAGUGUCUAGAUACAUGUAAUAUUUCGACAAGAAUUAUGGAACGGAGGGAGUAGCUUCUAUGUAAUGUUUACUCGCUUAUAGGACCCUUAUUGGCAACUAAAUCUAAAGCUAUGCAUAAAUCCAGCAAUUGCUUUUAAGAAAGGCUAGGCAUAAGGCAUGUUUUCUCUAUGCAAGGGUACUGAUGACUUUAAACAUGCACACUGCUAAUAGUCUUUAUGUUUUUGUGUAUCUUUGUUUUCCAUAUACUCAAAUCUAUGCUGUAUCAGUAUUUUUGUUUCACAUCUUGGUGUCCCAUUGGUAAUUCUUAAUUGGAGAGGCCAUUGAUUCGUGCUUGCUGUAUCGUUGUGUCUGCUGCAGCAGGCUAGCACGUGCUUGUUCCUUUUUGGGGGAACAAGUUUCUGAUUAUACUUAUUUUUCAACUUCUGCAGGGGUUUCAGAGCAUACCGAUGAUUUUCUUGCAAGUUGUGCAGUUGUUGUCUCAAGCUUGCUGCCUCCCUUUGCCAAAACUGUCAGUGCAACAGCAGAAUUAUGCAAUCUGAAGGCAAAAAGUAAUGAAAAUGUACCACUAGCAAACAUGAUUAGUUAUUGGCAUAGAGAAUAUUCCGAUGCAUGACAUUUGCACAGUAGCUGCACAACUAAGCGAGAAAUAACAUUUCUGGAAAACGCAGGCAAGCAUGUCCAUUUUGAAAUAUGGAUAUCCUGUCUUGUUAAAGUCUUUAAUUACCAAUAUGUACUUAUUUAAAGUGCUCAGCUAGUAAACCAACUGGUGCAUACGAAGGUCUGUAAGGUUGGUAUAACUGACAACAGGGCUGCUUGCUGGUAUGACAGUUUGAUAAUGUUAUGGCUUGAUUCUGCUUUCUUCUUACGCAGGCUCAGAGGCUGGCAUGUUAGCGAAACUGAAGCCUUGUAUUUGAGGGAUUCUGCUUGAUCUCGUUCGAAGGGAGUCUCUGGAUAGUCCCGAGGAAUGUUCUCCUGGUGGCCCUGUAAUGUCUGGAGCUGUCUUGAGCUUGCGCAAGAAUUUCAACUGGACAUGUUCAUCUGUAGGCUAACACGCUACAGGCUUCUGUGGAACAGCGAUUUAGAUUUUUCUCUCGUUCUGCAAGUAUAAUGGUGGCGCUUAACUGUACUUUUGGAUUGAGUGUAAACGAAACAACAUUUUACUAAGUAUAAGAUGCAACCCGUUGGACAGUGUUUUAA